rnacentral:rRNA from 1 species
ACGGGGUGCAGCAGGCGCGAAACCUUUGCAAUGCGCGAAAGCGUGACAAGGGAAUUCCACGUGCCAACUUAGUUGGCUUUUCUUAAGUUUAAAACGCUUGGGGAAUAAGGACUGGGCAAGACCCGUGCCAGCCGCCGCGGUAAUACGGGCAGUUCUAGUAGUGUUCGCGUAUAUUGGGCCUAAAGCGUUCGUAGCCGGUCCAACAAGUUCCUGGUGAAAGUCUGCGACUUAAUCGUGGAAAAUGCCAGGAAAACUGUUGGACUUGGAGCCGGGAUGGGUCGGAGGUAUUCUCGGGGUAGGGGUAAAAUCCUGUGAUCCCGGGAGGACCAUCGGUGGCGAAGGCGUCCGACUGGAACGGGCUCGACGGUGAGGAACGAAAGCUAGGGGAGCGAUGCGGAUUAGAUACCCGCGUAGUCCUAGCCGUAAAUGAUGCUAGUUUGGUGUAACGCAACCUACGAGGUUGUGUUGUGCCGUAGGGAAGCCGUAAACUAGCCGCCUGGAAGUACGCCGCAAGGC